AAGGUUGCCCGGGAGAACACAAGCACUGCCCCGUCCACCAUUCAUCAUGGAGAUCCUGCGGACACAGUUAUGGGUGAUCUUCCCCCGGGACCCCGAGCAUGCUGGGAUGGGAUGGGCUCUGAGUGGGUGUCAUCCUUAGGCUGAAGAAGCAUUCCCCUGCAUAUUCUCAUCUCAACACGGAGACAACAUGCGUGUGGUGUGUGCAUGGGGUGCAUGCUCUGAGAGAGUUGAGCAUCGGCAUGCUGCUCCGAUUAUAGGCCUAACAGUGCUGUGCUGCACUGCGCUGCCCUACGCUGUGCAGGAUCAGCAGACCUGUAUGCUGCCUGCAAUCAGACGCCUCAGCAAUCAACUAGAGCCUGACGAACUCAACUGGGUCACAAGAACGAGGUGGAGACAGAAAAUGCUUGCCUAGCCUACCUCCAUGGUUGUCUGUCCUGGCUGCUUGAUGACCACAGUGCACCUCCAGUGCAGAUGUCUGGCUGCCCAGUUGUCCUGCCUGAAUCCCCAUGCAUUGGUCUGGUUAAGCAUCAGAGAGGAGAGAGUGAGUCGGCAUGACGUUGGAUCUUAGCUGCUGCUGCAGCUACUUCUUCAAUGGGCUGCACUGUACCCACCUGCCAAAAUGGAAUGACUCUCCAAGACGGAUGGACUAAGACAAAAAUACAAAAAAGAGGUGCCUUCUUCUUCAACAGACCCACCAACAGCCUUUUCCCUCCUGGUAUACUCUAUAGCCAUACAACAGGCUCGACUACUGGUGCACCACCCAGAAGCAACAGCUCUAACAGACACCCCACCUCCUUCUACUGCUACUCUGCUCAGUUUUGCCAUCCACGUCCUGUCCAUCUCCUUCAAAAUGAUGAGCGAGAGACAAACAAAAACAAACAUACAAACAAAAACAAAAACUUGGACAUCAUGUUUUUGAAACCUGCAAAAAUCUACUGUAGCCUACUUUUUUCUUUCUUCCUGUAUGAGAUACUACAGGUGGACAUGACAAAGAGCUUGUCUAAUGUGUGUGUGUAUGUAUGUGUAUAUGUGUAUGUGUGUGUGCGCACUCCCACUGCCUCUCUCUCUCUCCUAUUCGCCAUGCCGUGUCUUUCUGUGACAAUGGAGGUAGACGGUCCGCCGCCAUGCUAGGCUAUCUCUGUCAUGUGUCAUUCGUUAUUAUGAUCACCAUGUGAUGUCUUAGAGCUGACUGU